CACGUGUAGCGGUAGAAAUGCGUAGAGAUGUGGAGGAACACCAGGUGGACGAAGGCGGUCUUUCGUGGUCUAGUAACUGACGCUGAGGCGACGAAAGCGGUGGGGAGACAAACGAGGUAUUAGACUACCCGUGGUACGUCCACCGACCGUAAACGAUGAGUGACUAAGUUGGUUACGGGGGUUUCCCGCCCCUUUAGUGCUGCAGCUAACGCAUUAAGCACUCCGCCUGGGGAGUACGGCCGCAAAGGCUG
rnacentral:rRNA from 1 species